UCAGGCCUAACACAUGCAAGUCGAGCGGAAACGAGUUAUCUGAACCUUCGGGGAACGAUAACGGCGUCGAGCGGCGGACGGGUGAGUAAUGCCUAGGAAAUUGCCCUGAUGUGGGGGAUAACCAUUGGAAACGAUGGCUAAUACCGCAUGAUGCCUACGGGCCAAAGAGGGGGACCUUCGGGCCUCUCGCGUCAGGAUAUGCCUAGGUGGGAUUAGCUAGUUGGUGAGGUAAGGGCUCACCAAGGCGACGAUCCCUAGCUGGUCUGAGAGGAUGAUCAGCCACACUGGAACUGAGACACGGUCCAGACUCCUACGGGAGGCAGCAGUGGGGAAUAUUGCACAAUGGGCGCAAGCCUGAUGCAGCCAUGCCGCGUGUGUGAAGAAGGCCUUCGGGUUGUAAAGCACUUUCAGUCGUGAGGAAGGUAGUGUAGUUAAUAGCUGCAUUAUUUGACGUUAGCGACAGAAGAAGCACCGGCUAACUCCGUGCCAGCAGCCGCGGUAAUACGGAGGGUGCGAGCGUUAAUCGGAAUUACUGGGCGUAAAGCGCAUGCAGGUGGUUUGUUAAGUCAGAUGUGAAAGCCCGGGGCUCAACCUCGGAAUAGCAUUUGAAACUGGCAGACUAGAGUACUGUAGAGGGGGGUAGAAUUUCA
rnacentral:rRNA from 1 species